CAGUAGCCGCGGGAAUACGAAGGGUGCGAGCGUUAAUCGGAAUUACUGGGCGUAAAGCGUGCGUAGGCGGUUUGUUAAGUCUGUUGUGAAAUCCCCGGGCUCAACCUGGGAAUGGCAAUGGAUACUGGCAAGCUAGAGUGUGUCAGAGGAUGGUGGAAUUCCCGGUGUAGCGGUGAAAUGCGUAGAGAUCGGGAGGAAAAUCAGUGGCGAAGGCGGCCAUCUGGGACAACACUGACGCUGAGGCACGAAAGCGUGGGGAGCAAACAGGAUUAGAUACCCCGGUAGUCCCUGUCUCUUAUAC
rnacentral:rRNA from 1 species